UGAGGAAUAUUGCGCAAUGGCCGAAAGGCUGACGCAGCGACGCCGCGUGAAGGAUGAAGUUCGUUAGAAUGUAAACUUCUUUUGUAGGGGAUGAAUGUGCCGGUUUCCGGCAUUGACCGUACCCUGCGAAUAAGGAUCGGCUAACUACGUGCCAGCAGCCGCGGUAAUACGUAGGAUCCGAGCGUUGUCCGGAUUUACUGGGUGUAAAGGGCGUGUAGGUGGGUCUCUAAGUCGGUGGUGAAAGCCCGCAGCUCAACUGCGGAAUUGCCAUUGAUACUGGAGGUCUUGAGUACGGCAGAGGGAAAUGGAAUUCAUGGUGUAGCGGUGAAAUGUGUAGAUAUCAUGAAGAACACCGGUAGCGAAGGCGGUUUCCUGGUCCGUAACUGACACUGAGGCGCGAAAGCGUGGGGAGCAAACAGG
rnacentral:rRNA from 1 species